rnacentral:tRNA from 1 species
GGGGAUGCAGCUCGAUGGUAGAGCACUUGGCUUGCAUGUUGGAGGCCCUGGAUUCAAUUCCCAGCAUCUCUC